UACGUAGGGUGCAAGCGUUGUCCGGAAUUAUUGGGCGUAAAGAGCUCGUAGGCGGUCUGUCGCGUCGGAUGUGAAAAUCCAGGGCUCAACCCUGGACCUGCAUUCGAUACGGGCAGACUAGAGUUCGGUAGGGGAGACUGGAAUUCCUGGUGUAGCGGUGAAAUGCGUAGAGAUCAGGAAGAACAUCGGUGGCGAAGGCGCUCUGCUGGACCAUAACUGACACUCAGGGACGAAAGCUAGGGGAGCGAAUGGG
rnacentral:rRNA from 1 species